rnacentral:lncRNA from 1 species
CUGUUAGUUAGAUGUGAAAUCUAAUGGGUUACACACAUAUGAAGAUUGGCCAAGGACCCUUUUGAAAAAGGUUGAUUGAAAUUUUGGAUUUAAUCAGGGCUUCGGUAAGCAUGCUAGCACGUGUGGAACCCUUGCUCCUUUGGAAGUCAAUUUGGUCUCAUCCCUUGCUAAUUAGCUAGCCUAAUUUAGUGGGUAUUUGGGUCAGAUCAUACCACCUAAAAGCAAUCCAAAUUGAGAUGCACAUCUCAUUUUAACGCCAAUUAUGAAGAGUCCAAGUUGUGAAGGACUCUUGGCGCAAAACAGGUUCUGCAUACAAGUGUUGGCAUGGGCAGAAGAAAAGAGUCCUUCUGGUAUGAGAUUAAGAUACGUGUGGUAGUUCAUAUCACCCUCCUUCCUCUGGUGCACAUCUCAAAGUAUGAGAUGUAUUUUUUCUAAAAUUUUUGGGGCAGAGAAAAAUUAGAAAAAGAAAGUUUCACGUGUGCACGCAGAAGCAUCGCGUCUCUUUAAGAUUUGGAGAGUCCUUCUCCACAACCAAUACUUUCGAAAUGGAACUAUUUUUGGUGAUAACAUUCAAAAUUUGACAAGCUAUUUUUGAUAAUUUUUUUGAAAUUUUUUCAGACUUAUCUAAAUGCCAAACGGACACCAUAAAUUCCUCCUCGUGCCUGCAUGCGGGGUGAUCAGACUUCACAUGAAAGGAUGUGAGAAGACAUUCAUUUGUGGAAAUUUUUAUUUACUUAUUAUAUAUUUUGGAAUUAAGAUUGAAUCCUCUAUCCACAUGAAUUUUUUAGGAUUUUUUUAAUUUGAGAAGGGAUGUGAAAACAUCCCUUCUCUGGUCGUGCAUGCAGAGCAGGGUGCUGAUCGACAUAUCAUUGAUAAGAGUCCUUCUGUUUGGAGGAACUCUUAUCUCUGAUAAUCAGAUUAGAUAGGCCUCUUGGAUGAGGCGUAUACCUCUCUUUUGGUGUCCCUCUAGUGGCUAUAAAUUAGUUGGGGUACUGGGUGUCCGAUGCAUUCAGAAAGAGUUUUCAAUUUUGUCUCCGUUGCUCUCUUUUCUUUCUUACAAUCUAUCUUAGUUUUAGGAUAAGACUUUAGGAUUUAAGACAAAGCCAUAUCUGAUCCUAACAAGGGUUAUGAGUGUCCUAAAGAAGGAGAAUCAAAAGUUCAGAGGAGGUUCUAAGAGGGUAGAGUCAGUUUCUUAGAGAAACCUGAUCGGUAUGAGGCUAGUCGAGUUCUAGUGGUUAGAACUCUUGAAGCAAGGUGAAGGAGCGCUGUCCUUGGUUCAGUUUUCGUGUGAAUCACCAUUGGAGGGCAGACAUUUGGAUCCCUUGUGAAAAUUGGGAUUAGCGCUAUAAGUAUUCUUCUUAUCCUAAUUUAUAUUUAUUGUACUUUGAUUAUUAUAGUC